CCUACGGGCGGCAGCAGUGAGGAAUAUUGGUCAAUGGACGAGAGUCUGAACCAGCCAAGUAGCGUGAAGGAUGACUGCCCUGUGGGUUGUAAACUUCUUUUAUAUGGGAAUAAAAUGUUCCACGUGUGGGAUUUUGUAUGUACCAUAUGAAUAAGGAUCGGCUAACUCCGUGCCAGCAGCCGCGGUAAUACGGAGGAUCCGAGCGUUAUCCGGAUUUAUUGGGUUUAAAGGGAGCGUAGGUGGAUUGUUAAGUCAGUUGUGAAAGUUUGCGGCUCAACCGUAAAAUUGCAGUUGAAACUGGCAGUCUUGAGUACAGUAGAGGUGGGCGGAAUUCGUGGUGUAGCGGUGAAAUGCUUAGAUAUCACGAAGAACUCCGAUUGCGAAGGCAGUUCACUGGACUGCAACUGACACUGAGGCUCGAAAGUGUGGGUAUCAAACAGGAUUAGAUACCCGAGUAGUC
rnacentral:rRNA from 1 species